rnacentral:rRNA from 1 species
UACGUAGGGUGCGAGCGUUAAUCGGAAUUACUGGGCGUAAAGCGUGCGCAGGCGGUUUUGUAAGCCAGAUGUGAAAUCCCCGGGCUUAACCUGGGAAUGGCAUUUGGGACUGCAAGGCUCGAGUGCGGCAGAGGAGACUGGAAUUCCUGGUGUAGCAGUGAAAUGCGUAGAAUAUCAGGAGGACACCGAUGGCGAAAGGCAGGUCUCUGGGCUGACACUGACGCUCAUGCACGAAAGCGUGGGGAGCAAACAGG